rnacentral:lncRNA from 1 species
UUGGGCAGGGCCCUCCUUGUAUUGAGGAGGUUUUGCCAUUUGAUUGUAACCCUAUGAAUAUGGAAUAAAACUCUUUUACCAUCGAAAAAGAAGAAGAAGAAGAGAGAAACACGAACAAGCACGAAUGCUGACCUCGGUACAAGCCCACCAUUCGAAGAAACGAAACACAUUUGUCACGAGCCCUUCAAUUCAACCAACCAGGGCAAACAAACACGCAAACAAAACAGACAAGAAAAGAUAAAAACAGCACACGACAGCAGGAGUGAAGCGGCGACCCAGAGGGGUCCAAAACCCUCCCAGUCGGCUUCCGCAUCGGAUUCCCAGCAGCAUACGCUCUCUCUCCAUUUUGGAGAGGACGGCUGCUCCGCACCCAGAUCACUCACCUCCUCAUCCAAAACUACUCACGCCACACCACUAGCUUACGACUAGGCGAUCAACGGACCGAUUAAGCUGCAACAAAACACAAUCUACGUACGUCCAAUUCCAAAGUGAACGCCAUGUGGGCCUGCCUUCGCUCCAUCCCGGGCCGAUAAAACGUGGCCCGGCCCCUCCGCCAUGGUGAAAGAUCGGACAUCAGAGCGAGGCCUCGAAGUUGAGGCGGGAGGAGUAGGUGCCCUUGGGCGCCCAGUUCCUGGGGAUGACGUCGCGGGCCGUGAGCGUCUUGGGGGCGGACAGCGUCGUCAGCCUCACGGAGAAGGGCCCCGCCGUGGGGCCCCCGUACAGGCACCACGUGGCGCCCCACACGUGCUUCAUGUCCAGCCAUUUCGCCGAGUCCGCCUGCAGCCACGCACGCACGCACACACCACGUGAGCAAAGCACACACAUCAUAAGCACUGAUGAACACUGAUACUAAGUCUGAUAAACAAGUUGGUCAUUUUCAUCAACCAAAUCUUUCCGCUUCUCAUUGGGUUCGAUACUCUUACUUAUCGAAGAGGUCUACAAUAGAUCCCCACAUUGGUGGGUAGUCAAUGGCAGGUGGAUCCGAUGUGACAGGCUCCAAACCUAGCGCGGCACGUGAGUUGGUGACUGGCGGUAGCACGGUGGCCACCCAACUAGUUGUGGCCGGUCCUAGCGGCAAAGCUGCGGGCCAGCACAGCGGCAGUGGCCAUGGCUAUCAGCGUCUCCCUCAUCUCCGACUACGAAGGGCGACUCUCCUCCACGCAGCAGGUGCCAAUCCGACGGCUUCCUCGCUCGCCUCCAGAUGGCACUGCUCUGGCGAUUUGCUAGGUUACACACUAGGCCUAGAGAAAUCCUUUCAAAGCGGCAACUGUUGUAGACGACGAUGAUGCUUGUGGGUGUUGUAUCCUCCUUGGAGACGUCAUUUUGCCCAUGUCCAUGCUCUGCUCGGGUACCGGUCAAAACCUUAGGUCAGCUCUCUGGCCAAGCAACAACGCCCCCCCCCCAGGGUUGUCCCUUCUUUGAAGGUGUUGCAUGGGUGCUCAACGAGCCUAUGAAAAUUGAUAUUGGAGGUGGUAGCGCGUCGUCAACUCUUCGGCGGGGUUUUGGGCAAUUUGUCAUUCGGUGAUGGUUACUAUUGUGGGCAUGGGCUCUCGGGGCGCAACGUACGCCAUCAUCAGAACCUCUUGGAUGGCAUCUUCUUUGAGUCCGGUUGGUUCCUGUUGUUCACUUGCUGAUUCCUUUAGUAAAGUUAAAAUUAUUUAGCUUAUUCUCUUUAAAAUUAUUUAGCUUAUUCUCUCAAUUUCAAUCGACCGUUGCUGCACUAUGGGCGGAGGGUGCAUUGACCCAGCUUCAGCUGAAGUCAGGAUAGUACUGUCUUCGUGUACGUUGUUUGUUGUCACGCAGUCCUUGAUCUCCGAGUGUUGCCUUCUCGCCAUUUGUGGCUUGAGGUUCAACUACGCAAGUUGUUUUAUCGUUGUAGUCGUGGUAUUGGCACUGUGUUGUUCGCCAAAAGCGUCGUAUCAGCUGCUUGACACCUACUAACCUUGGCUCAUGAUUGAUUAUAAUAAUACAACCUCCUUCCCAAGAAAAGUCUAGGGUCCCUUGCCUCCCACCGGCGCCGCCGUUGGCCCGCCUCGUUUCCGGUGGCCUUAAGGCCAUGGCGGCGCGGUGGAUCUCGGGCUCUCGACCCAUGCCGGCGGGAGGGCUCUGUUUUCAGUUGUUUCUUCGUGUUUUGUUAGGGUUUGUGUCCUACUCGGAAAGACGAGACGACGGCGGCUCCCUGAAGAUGGAAUAAGUUUCUCUCCGCCUAGUGUGGAGGUGUGUCUCCGGCGGAUCUAUCUUUUGUGGAUUUGCUUGGAUCUGGUCGUAGUUCGUCUACAUUCAUGUGUUUUCAGGUUGGAUCCUUCCGAUCUACGUUACUCUUUAUCGGCAGCGGUUGCUGUUCUAUCGCAUUGGUCCUAUGGGGCCUUAACACGACGACUUCCCGACUGUCUACUACAACAAGUUUUGCCCGACUCUGGCGAGGGAGGGGCAAUGACGGCGGCACACCUUCGGCUCGCUUCAGUGCUUGUAGUUGUCGCUAGGUGGUCUACGGAUCUGGAUAUAAUUUUUGUUAUUUCUGGUGUUCGUUGUACUGCUAUGAUUAAAGAUGAAUAUAUCAGAAGUUUUUCGCAAAAAAAACUGCUUGACGCCUACUGGUGCACCUUUUCGUGGUGUGUACUUGAAAACAAGAAAUAACAUUCACACGAAGGGUGUCUUCUCUGAGUACUCCAAACGAACACACAUGUCCAUAAUAAGAAGAGGGAAAUGCGAACAAGCAGGAAUCCUGACCUCGGUACAAGCCCGCCAUUCGAAGUAACUAAACACAUUUGUCACGAGCCCUUCAAUUCAACCAACCAGGGCAAACAAACACGCAAACAAAACAGACAAGAAAAGAUAAAAACAGCACACGACAGCAGGAGUGAAGCGGCGACCCAGAGGGGUCCAAAACCCUCCCAGUCGGCUUCCGCAUCGGAUUCCCAGCAGCAUACGCUCUCUCUCCCUUUUGGAGAGGACGGCUGCUCCGCACCCAGAUCACUCACCUCCUCAUCCGAAACUACUCACGCCACACCACACUAGCUUACGACUAGGCGAUCAACAGACCGAUUAAGCUGCAACAAAACACAAUCUACGUACGUCCAAUUCCAAAGAGAACGCCAUGUGGGCCUGCCUUCGCUCCAUCCCAGGCCGAUAAAACGUGGCCCGGCCCUUCCGCCAUCAGAGCGAGGCGUCGAAGUUGAGGCGGGAGGAGUAGGUGCCCUUGGGUGUCCAGUUCCUGGGGAUGACGUCGCGGGCCGUGAGCGUCUUGGGGGCGGACAGCGUCGUCAGCCUCACGGAGAAGGGUCCCGCCGUGGGCCCGCCGUAGAGGCACCACGUGGCACCCCACACGUGCUUCAUGUCCAGCCACUUCGCCGAGUUCGCCUGCAGCCACGCACCACGUGAACAAAGCACACAUAUCAUAAGCACUCACGAACACGAUAAAUCUCAUAGAUAGACAGAGCACGACGGCCACUAGCAGAGCCUGAAGCUAGCUUUACAGCGCAACAUCGUCGCAAACGCUGGGCCUGGGCUCCAGAAUCUUUGGAUGCCGAGAAUCCACGAGGCCGCCGCGCAAAGCCGAUGCACGGUCAAGGGCGUGCCGCACUGCGCAGGAUGGGGUGUCAGGCUAAAACAACCACGAGAUAAAAGCGUUAGCAGGCGCAAGAGCCAGUGGCAGAGCCGCAUGCCCGGCCUCUUUGGUCUUUAGCCCUACUACUUGACAGUGAGCGAGACCGAGGUAAAGCGGCAGCAUCAUUGGGCAAGCGCAGGGCAGUGGAGUUCCGGGGACAUGGUUCACGUUUCGGGGCUGUUUGGUUUGACACUAAGUUUACCAAAGCUUGCCACACCUAAGGUUAGGCAAGUUUGAUCAACUUAGGUGUGUGUUUGGUUCAAGCCACGUCUUAGGCAAGCCACACUAUGAUCCCCCAUCACAUACACACAAAAAGUGUGGCAAAAUUCCCUUAGGCUUGCCCAUUUGUGGCUCUCAUUUUGGAGAACUAACCUUAGACAAGUUUGACAAUAUUGUAUGGCAAAGUGUGGCACUCCUAGGCCUAGAACCAAACAGCCCCUUCAUCUUUCGGUGCUGCCGCCUACAUUGGAUACUUUACAUUUGUCCAACAAAAAAAGAGCAUCGGAUACUUUGUAUGCUCCAAAUGGGAAUCAUAUGGCCAAAGACAAUCAUGUAGGGUACCUACACUCAAGGGUUUGACUAUAGUGUGUGACAUUGUGCGGUCGACAAUGCAAGAAAGUAGCGGCAUGCUUUCUUGGCUGAUUUCCAGUGUCGUCUGUUGGCAGUUCAUUUGUCAUGUUUUAUAAAGCUUAGUUUCAGGCUAUAAAACGGUCUUUGUCAAGCUUAGCUGUCUACUAAUCUUGGUUUCACUUGCUGUAAAAUACUAGUGAUAAGUCUCUGUGAAAAGUCUCAUUCUAGACCCUCAGGUCGUUGUACGAAGGACACGACAUGGGCCUAAAUGCCUAGCCAACGACAGUACAAAUGCUAGCUAGCGAGCAGAGGCACGAGGGCAAAAGCAGGCAACAGUGCAAUAUGUCUCCGACCCCAUCAAAGUGGGAGGACGAACUCACAUGCACGCAUUUUCGCAUAGGAAAGGAAAGAAUAUGCGCCGGGUCCUCCUCUUGCACAUUUGCACUCACAUAAAGCAUUUGUCCAAUGCAACCCACCCAACUUGUUCCCACCACCAAAGGCAAUGGAGGGCUAAAAAGAUAACCCGAUUUACCCCCAUUCACUUUGUUACUAAUGUCAAGAAAAAAGGCAGUGCACCAAAGUAAAUAAGCUUGACAAGAAGCGGAUGGGUACCUGCUUCAGCUGCAUGGAGCCAAUGUCGCCCUCGCCGUCCUCGAACUCGACGAGCAGCGAGAGCCAGAAGCUCGUCGACCCCUCGUUCACAUGGAAGGCGAUGUUCUUCCCGCCGUACUUGCACGCCGUCCUGAUGCGCGCACACGCACGCUGCUCCGGUCAGUUUCUUCUUAAAGAAAGGAAAAGAAACACCAAAUCUCACGGUUGCACACAUGCAGUAGAUUACAUAUAGAGAGACGACAGCUUUUCCAUGGUCAGAUAGGUUAAUGAACGGAGCUGGAGGAAUUGACCAGGAAUCUUGACAAGAGGUUACAUGCCAGUGCCACGGGACAGGUAUCCAUCUGCGCCUCUGCCCGAGUUGCAUCACGCAGAGGCAUGAGUAACUCGGCAGCAACAGAUAGAUCCAAGUUAAGAUAGCUGUGAGCUGCGAGCCCGUUAGAGUUAAGGCCCUGGACAAUUUAAUUCCCACUGCGCUUGAAGAUACGACGGCUAAAAUCACAGAUCCACAGUAGCAGUUAGCUGCACUGUUUCGACAACGGUCCACUGACUGACCCAUCUAACCAUUUUUUAGUCUGCUAAUAACCUCAGGGAGUGAGAGUUUUUGUCCUUGAGCUACUUGUCUACAAUGGCAUGCGCCCAAGCUGAUUAGUUUAAUCAGUUGCUACUACUAACUAUCUGAGAAUGCACUAAAAAAGACUUGAAGAAGUGUACUACGUGCUGCUCGCUCACCUUCGGUAGAUCACCUUGAGCUGCCCACGGUCGCGCAGGUGCGCCCCGGCGCCGGCGACGGCCAUCCUGCUGAAGGCGGCGCCGCUGAGGUCGAAGUGCGUGUUGCCGCCGCCGCAGGGGCCGCCGCCGGGGCACUCGUCGGUGACGAUGACGGUGACGGCGCGGCGCGAGCAGAUGCCGUGGUCGAGGCACCGGACCUUGUAGCAGGCGCCGCACCCCUCGCCACCCUUGAACAGCACCGGGCUCACCGACCCCACCCGCGCCUUCAUCGGCACCACGUCCACCAGCGUCCCGUACCCGCACGCUCCCCCUGAAAGAAGAAAAGAACGUCCAUCGCCAUUAGAACCGAAUCCACCGAGCUCAGUCCGGCAGAACUGAGAUGCUAAUCUACUGCGAUACAGUUACUGCGGUGCUCUGACUUCAGGGUGUAAAUGCAGCUAACAGUAGAGCACGACGGAUCACUGGGUUACGGACGCAGCAUCAAAGUUACCAGGGGUGUCGGUGGAGCGCGUGAACGGAGGCGCAGAGGGCAUUUAUCGCCAAGAUUUUAGCCAUAUGGUACUGCCCCAGCAGAGCAAGGAAGUUAUUGGGAAGCCUGGCACGGUCGUCUUCGCCGGUCGCCGCGCCGAAAGCCCGGCGGCACGAAUCGUAAAGCGACGGAGCUCCUCUGCGCUUGACACGUGUGGAGGGGUCCGGUGGGGGCCCACGGAAAUUCCCUGCCGGAUCUCACGGGAUAUGCAGACGCCGCGCCAGAAAUGCCGCAACGGGAAGAGCUAAUCGAUCCUUCUCUAUUUUUUACCAAAACAACACUCCUAUGUUGAGAGAAGGGUAAAAGAACUAGCCGUCUGAUGCCAGUGUAAAAAAAGAGCUCUGGUGCGAAUAGGACGGCUCAGAUAGCAAUAAUUUUUGUACAGCAGAUAUGUGUACCAGGCGUACUGUAUUUUGGGAGUAACAAUCCUAGUCAUGAAGCCGGUAAAUAAAGAAAAAGAAGGCAGAUGAGCUCUGCUUCGCCCAGGUACUGAUGCUGCAACCCACCACUGCCCAGGCACUAAUCUUAACCCGCUAGUAGAACAAGAGUAACAGACGCCGGAGUAAUCAAGGGGCUGUAACAAUGCGGGAGCUAGCUUAUCUCUACGACGGUCAGCGGAGGCGGGUUGAGAGCUCUUACCGGUGCUGCCGUCGCCCUCGGCGUCGCCGUACCACGUCGCGGUGGCCGGCCGCCACUCCACGUCGACCGCCGCCUUGCCCUUGCCCUUCGCCGCCGACUUCCCGUCGUCGAACAAGAAUGCGGCGGAGACGGCCGGGGACGCGAGCAGCAGAAUGCAGAGCGCGAAGGGGCCGGCGGCGGCGCGCGAGGAAGCCAUUGGGGGCAACGGGUUCCUUUCCCCUCCUUUCCUCUGCGGUACUAGAGGCGGGCUCUGCGGCUGCUUGGACGGGAG